UACGGAGGGGGCUAGCGUUGUCCGAAGUUACUGGGCGUAAAGAGCUUGUAGGUGGUUUGUCGCGUCUGCUGUGAAAAUCCGAGGCUCAACCUCGGACUUGCAGUGGGUACGGGCAGACUAGAGUGUGGUAGGGGAGACUGGAAUUCCUGGUGUAGCGGUGGAAUGCGCAGAUAUCAGGAGGAACACCGAUGGCGAAGGCAGGUCUCUGGGCCAUUACUGACAC
rnacentral:rRNA from 1 species